rnacentral:miRNA from 1 species
UUGGCACAGAUCUCUAGAAAAGUU